GGAAUUCAUUUUCUACCGAAUCGAACCCUACUCUUGCGCUAUGCUGGUCAACGUAAUGACGCCGCCGUUGAUUACAGUAAGGUGUUUACAUAGUUGCAGCGUUCAAUGUAUUAGACUGUGAGAAAGUGAACAUGGAACUUGUGAGCAGAAAAAGUAUUGUUUGGCAGUACUUUCAGUCAAAAGAAGGCCAUUCAAGUCCCGCUACAUGUUCAAUUUGCAAAGCCGAUUUGUCUUGUGGUGGCAACCCUAAGGACCCUACACAAUACACAUCAUUGCUGCUGUUAAAACAUUUGCGUAUGAAACAUCCGAAAGAAUACGAGUUGUGCAUGAAGGAAUCUACAGACAGAAGACAAAAUGCAACAACUUCAGGUAAAGAAAAUAGAUGUUG